rnacentral:rRNA from 1 species
UAGGGAAUCUUCGGCAAUGGACGAAAGUCUGACCGAGCAACGCCGCGUGAGUGAAGAAGGUUUUCGGAUCGUAAAACCCUGUUGGUAGAGAAGAACGUUGGUGAGAGUGGAAAGCUCAUCAAGUGACGGUAACUACCCAGAAAGGGACGGCUAACUACGUGCCAG